CAUUUUUUUUUUUUUUAUUUCAUUUUCUUUCUGUGAUUAUUUGCUUCCAUAAUUAAUGAAUUGUAUGAUAGCGUUGUUUUAGCUGGGGUGAUCUUAAUAAUCUUGCUAUUACUUCCAAGAGUAAUGUGUUAGCAAUUGUGUACUCUCAUAAAUAUUGAAAGUUCAGUCCUUUUGGUUUAAAUCCUCAUUCACUUGUUGAUUAUUGUUGAAUCCUUGCACACACAAUAGAUUAUUUGAAUUACCAAGUGGCUCAUUUUUUAUGUUAUUGCAAAUUAAGAACAAAGCAGUUCCUUCUCUUUGUGAAUUCUUAUGCGCUCUAUGAUGGCAACCAUUUUAAUUAUGCUGACAACUAUAUUUAAUUUCUCAGUCUCCACAUGCCUUGAAGUUGGUGGCCUCUAUUUGGAGGUUUCAAAAGCAAGGAUUAGAAAAAAAAUUAUAUGUGAAUUGUUAUGCUGAGGAAUGGAUGGGUUCAAUCUUCAUUUGGUAAAAUGGGACUAGAUAUGUUCUCCAAUUUAGAAUGGGGGACUAGGCCUUGCUUUUGCCACAGUAGCACUUAUUUUAGUUUGCAAAGAAAUAGUCUUUGGAAGAGAAUAGUAUGUUUGAAUUAUAGGGAGGGAUUUGAUGGGUGCGAUCUACUCCAACUGUGAUUAGCAGCAAUUGAGUAGAUUCAUGGGAAAGCAUAAAAUCAGAAAUGCAAUUUUAUGGAGUAAUAUGCUUUUGUUUGAAAGGAUGAAGUUUAAAGCGAAUUCCUUUUACACUUCUUUUGCAUGCAUUGUUAUCUUUAACUACACGGCUUGAACUGCAUCUUCUUAAGGUACAUGGUCUUUCACAUUGCCCUGUUAGUAUCUAAAUUUGUGGUCUUUCACAUUGCCCUGUUAAUAACUAAAUUUGUGUAUGGCAUUGGGGUCCCUUUAAUUGGAGUACUGGUUCCAUGCUCUUUGCAUGAGGCUCAUUCUUUUGUAUCUAAUUCCGAUUCAGAUGCAUCUUUUUCUGAAUCUCUAUAUGGAUUGUGGAGAAGAGCAGUGAAGAUAAGAGCAAAUAAAAACUAUGCUCUUUUGAAAUCAAGGGAUGGAUUUGAGCUCUCUGGGUUAGAAAAGCGCCAAAAAAUUCUCUCAGUUGUAUUUCUGGUUGUGCUGCCUUAUUUUAAGUCAAAACUGCAUUCGAUAUACAACAGAGAAAGGGAAGCCAGGCUUCAAGCAAGUAUUUUGGGGGAUGGUGUUGAAACAUUUGAAGAUGCUGAUUAUUUUGAUAGAGGGGAGGGUUCUCUUGUUUCUAGGGGAACUGUGUAUGCAGAAGCAACAAUUAGAUCACGCUUGACAAAGAGACUUCAGAAGAUUGUAUUUGCUUGCUACCCAUGGUUGCAUGCUACUAGUGAAGGAUUGUCAUUCACUUAUCAACUCUUAUAUCUGUUUGAUGCUACUGGGUUCUAUUCUUUAGGAUUACAUGCGCUUGGGAUUCAUGUUUCUCGAGCAACAGGGCAAGAACUGGUAUUCAAUUGUGCAAGAUUUCUGUUGGGAAUUUAUGUUUAUAGAGCACCCAUACUCCCCUUUUACACUCCCUCCUCCCUUUUGUGUAUUACAUGCAAAUCUGCAACUGUUGACCUCAGCUUUGUGAUUUUCAUGGACAGAAGUUUACAAUCAGAGUUGGGUAAUAAAGCCAUUAGAUGCACAAGUAUCUUACAUAUAGGCGCAAUUUAGUAACUUGAUUUUUAGACUAUUUAGGACAUUUCUUUACAACUUUUCAACACCAAUAUAGAUUUGUUAAACCUUGAUGAUAUCUCUGGCAGACAACAUUUUCAGAUACUUGGAAAUUCAAUCAUGUAAAUAUUUAAUAUUAAUAAUGAAUUAGGAGCAAUAAUGAUUUGCACAAGCAAUUUCUUAAAUUAGAGAAACUUGAUUUUUAUAGUGUCAACUAACAUUUUAUUUUCUUUUACAUGCCUUGACUUUUGUUUUCUGGGCAAAUUACUUGUAAAAUUCUUUUGAUGUCAAGGUAGAUGGAUACUUCUUCUAGAAUUUCUAAGAUACGAAGUUGUGAAUGUGAGAGACUUCGUGGACCUCCAUGGUAGAAGGCUUCAUGAGGAGCAUUACUGAGGUGUACGUAUACAAUGCUUGACUAUGCACAAACUGGCUUAAUUGCAGCAGUUUUCUUCUUUAAAAUGAUGGAAUGGUGGUACCAAUCUGCUGAGGAGAGAAUGUCAGCUCCAACUGUGUAUCCACCACCACCACCUCCUCCACCUCCAAAGGUGAACAUCAAACAUUUUAAUCUGGGAAUCCCUGAUCUCUCCUUCUUUCUCAAACAUGUGCACAUUAAUAUGUUCCAUGGCUUUUUUUUCUUAUUCUUACACUGAUUCCUUGGAAGCAUGUCAUUUGACCGGUGGAAAAUAUGUAUCAGAUGAUGUCUCUCCAUAGAUAUUGAAGGGAACAUCUCCCUUUCUUGGAUUUUUUUCACCGAAUAAAAUAAUCAUUAUCAAAUAUAUUCAGCUCUUACUGAGCUUUGUAGUAGAAGUUUGAAGUUUGUUGCUAGUUCGUAUAAAAAUGUCAUGUUUUCUUUGUGAUGUAAACAGGUAGCCAAAGAGGGGAUUCCACUGCCACCUGAUAGAACAAUCUGCCCCUUGUGCACACAGAAGCGCGCAAAUCCUUCUGUAGUUACAGUAUCAGGGUUUGUCUUUUGUUAUGCUUGCAUAUUCAAAUACGUAUCUCAGUAUAACCGCUGCCCUGUCACAUUGAUGCCAGCGACUGUUGACCAAAUAAGGAGGCUCUUUCAUGAUGUGUAGGGACCUUAUUGAUGUAUAGCAUUUUUGGUACAAGAAUUCAAUGAUCAAGUUCACUGUGCUGACAGAUGCUUAGGUACAGGCGAAGACAUUGCAAGAUUGUCAAAAUUAUGUGAACUUACAAUUUGAACUAAAUCAUAUUAAUAACAGUAACAUGCAAGAUUCGAUAGUCCCUCUUGGGCAAUAAUUGUAGCCAUCUAACAGUAGAUGUUCACUUAUUUGAAUUUGUAUCCUAGCAAUUUUCUCCCUCGCAUUCUUUUAUGUCUUUAAGUUUGAAAAAAUGUACCUUAGUCCUUAGCUGUCUUUAAAACUUUAAAAGGAAAUUUCCAAAUGCCUGAAUGAGAUAUGGAGACAAAGCAGUGAAAUGAACUACUGUCCGAUACACUCCGACGAUCGGUAGAAAAAGAAAAUAAUAACUCAUGGAUAUUCAUGUCACGUUAAGGUCUAACAUAGAACUGCACCAAGCAAGACGCUAAUCCUGAACUGCAAAACACUAUUGAGACCCUUGCUGAACUUGGGCACUAACUUUGUCCAAGGCCCUCUCCAGCCUUGCUUCAAAUGGGGUAGAAUUCCACUUCACUCUCUCAUCCUCCCCACUUUUGCUUAUGGUGUUGAGCAUUCCUUUGCUAGAAGAGCCUGAAUCUGAAUCCAUUGUCCGUCCAGUAUGACGCCAGUAGCUCCCAACAGUUCCUAUUAUGGGUAUUUCAUCAAGACUCUGGCUUCUUCCUUGUCUAGAAGAAGUAGAAGGAGAAACUUGCUUGAGUUCCUUCAUGGUCAGUUCUCCUAAAAUAGGCCUAUCUUUGUGACUUCUUGGCGAACUUGCCCUCCCAGAUGCUGAGUUCCUAACAGAAGUAGCACUGCCUUUCGACAAGGGUGUUGUUUCAGACUCAACCAACCAACUAGAUAGGCUAGUAUCGACUGCAAUUUCUUGGUCCAAAGGCUUCUGAUGAUCAGCAUUUGCUUUUGAAUUAUUGGUCAAUAGCUUAAAACUAGGCUCUGGACUAAUGUGUAUACCAAAAUGUUGCUCUAUAUUGAUGUUUUCCUUAUGUUGAUGGUGCAGGGGUAAGGUUGCUCCUUUGACUGCCUUCCACUGUGUAAAAUUUUCUACUGGAUUCAACACAGAAUCGACAUACCGAGUCCUAUCCCGAAUAUUUGGAUUACACCCAAUUGGCUUAAGUUCCUCCUGAGGUGAAUUACACUCCGGCAUUGGACUAGAGACCUCCUUCUCACCUACUUCAGCUCCACACACAUAUUUUCUUGAAUCAAUUGAUAAUGAAAACAAUGAUUCAGACGACUCUUCUUGAACCAAAAUUUUACCAUCAACACCCACAUUAUCUCUAACAUCAUCAAAAUCACUAUCUUCCAAAUCUAAAUCUUCAGAUUCUUCCUUCGUAUAAUUUUGAUAUCUGUGGUUUGGAGGAUAAGAAGCUCCAUCUGAUGAAAUCAAAUUAGGAAUUGAUUUGCUCUCAUCUGAUGGUUCUUCAUCUUUGUUUUCACUCUCUUUCUUCUCAUUGUUUUCUACUACAUUAUCAGUAGCUUCUCCAACAGAUAAACCCUUAUAGGUCUUGGCAUUCAAAUCAAAGGUAACUUUCCUUUUCCCAUUGCAGCUCAACUCUUUUUCAAGCUUCUCUCUAAGAACAUAAACAAAUAAAUACUCACAUACAAACCAACAACUAUCAACGUAAACAAAACCAACGACCAAAUCUCCUUUUAAACGUAACAAACAAAGAGCAAAAUCCAUACUUUCAAGUCAUAAUAUCGAAUAGCUUACUUGGAUUCUGUAGCGGGCUUAAUGGGUUCUUCAGUGACUUGCUGCUUUGUAGUAAAAUAAAUUUGCUGAGCUUCACUGGCUCCAUCACU
rnacentral:misc_RNA from 1 species